AAGAGCUCGUAGGCGGUUUGUCGCGUCUGUCGUGAAAGUCCGGGGCUUAACCCCGGAUCUGCGGUGGGUACGGGCAGACUAGAGUGCAGUAGGGGAGACUGGAAUUCCUGGUGUAGCGGUGGAAUGCGCAGAUAUCAGGAGGAACACCGAUGGCGAAGGCAGGCCUCUGGGCUGUAACUGACGCUGAGGAGCGAAAGCAUGGGGAGCGAACAGGAUUAGAUACCCUGGUAGUCCAUGCCGUAAACGUUGGGCACUAGGUGUGGGGACCAUUCCACGGUUUCCGCGCCGCAGCUAACGCAUUAAGUGCCCCGCCUGGGGAGUACGGCCGCAAGGCUAAAACUCAAAGGAAUUGACGGGGGCCCGCACAAGCGGCGGAGCAUGCGGAUUAAUUCGAUGCAACGCGAAGAACCUUACCAGGGCUUGACAUGUUCUCGAUCGCCGUAGAGAUACGGUUUCCCCUUUGGGGCGGGAUCACAGGUGGUGCAUGGUUGUCGUCAGCUCGUGUCGUGAGAUGUUGGGUUAAGUCCCGCAACGAGCGCAACCCUCGUUCCAUGUUGCCAGCACGUAAUGGUGGGGACUCAUGGGAGACUGCCGGGGUCAACUCGGAGGAAGGUGGGGACGACGUCAAAUCAUCAUGCCCCUUAUGUCUUGGGCUUCACGCAUGCUACAAUGGCCGGUACAAUGGGUUGCGAUACUGUGAGGUGGAGCUAAUCCCAAAAAGCCGGUCUCAGUUCGGAUUGGGGUCUGCAACUCGACCCCAUGAAGUCGGAGUCGCUAGUAAU
rnacentral:rRNA from 1 species